CCAAAGGCUCUUUUCAGAGCCACCACUUGAUCCCCAAAAGAGCUGG
rfam:Anolis carolinensis unplaced genomic scaffold chrTn0274, whole genome shotgun sequence.